GGUAAAAUGGCCGAGUAGGCAUUAGACUGUAAAUCUAAGGACAGGGGUAGAAACCCCCUUUUUGCCA
rnacentral:tRNA from 1 species